GCUACUACCGAUUGAAUGGUUUAGUGAGGACUCCUGAUUGGCGUCGCCGCCCCGGCAACGGAGCAGCGGACUGCCGAAAAGUUGUUCAAACUUGAUCAUUUAGAGGAAGUAAAAGUCGUAACAAGGUUUCCGUAGGUGAACCUGCAGAAGGACA
rnacentral:misc_RNA from 1 species